UGGGGCCGAAAAAUAUAACCGGAAAAAUGCAAUCAAAUCUCUUAUAUCAAUGCUCCUGCUCCAGCAAAGCAAUCCCAAAAUUAUAGAAAUUUAUAUGCAAUAAAAGAUCAUCAACAUCAUCAAUCCAAUAAGCAUUAACAAACAUAUCUCCUUUUUUUCUUCUUUCCUCAAUUCAAAAUCGAAAACCCAUCUAUUAAAUCAGCAGUCGAUUACGUAAGCAAAAAUAGAUCGAUACUAAGGAAAUCAAAACAUCAUCGAAAGAAGCCGAUCGAUCCAUAGCCAAAUUUACCCACAUUUCAACAACGAGGCAUCAAAUCAUUCAUCUAAAACAAAACGCACACAUAUGAACCUCUAAAAAUCCCGAAUACAAUUUACCUGGGCGGGGAUCAGUGAUGACCAUGUUCCUUGGCGUGUUGCUGGUGCUCGAGAUGGCGACGCUCAUUUGGGAGAGCGACGAAACAAUUGCUCAACCAAAAUCAGCAGCAGCACAAUGAAAGCAGUGUAAUAGGGUAAUCGUUCAAGAUUCAUACCUCAAAAGAUUCAAAAACCAAACGCCGAUGAGAGAAAAAAUGAAGCAGUGGAUUUCAAACGUGCUGCAACAAAUGAAAGGGAAAAAAUGAAAAAAGAGACUGAGAGAGAGAAUUGGUAAAGAAAUGGGAGGAGAAAUUGUGAAGACAGAAAAAGGAGAGGGUGGAGGUCGAUUUCGAGUAGGGAGAGAGGGUAAAACAGAGACUUGGGAAGGAAAGCCGGAUGUAAUGGGUAAUCGUAC
rnacentral:lncRNA from 1 species